GGAUUGAAGGCUGAAAUUCGCCUUCAUGAAGCCGGAAUUGCUAGUAAUGGCAGGUCAGCAUACUGCCGUGAAUACGUUCCCGGGCCUUGUACACACCGCCCGUCACACCAUGAGAGUUGGGAAUACCCGAAGCCUGUGAGCUAACCUUUAGAGGCAGCAGUCGAAGGUAGAAUCAAUGAUUGGGGUGAAGUCGUAACAAGGUACC
rnacentral:rRNA from 1 species